rnacentral:miRNA from 1 species
UAGCAGACACAUUCCAGCCAAUCAGCAGCAGACCCUCCCUCUCAGAUCCUCCCCCCUCCUGGACAGCAUCCAUUUUGAAGCUGCAUUCUUAGUGAGCUGUCCAGGAGGUGGGAGGGUCUGGGAAGGAGGGUCUGCUGCUGAUUGGCUGGAAUGUGUCUGCU